CGCACAGGACUUAAAAUCCUGCGGUAGGUGACUACCGUACCGGUUCGAUUCCGGUCCUCGGCACCA
rnacentral:tRNA from 1 species